AUUUCUAUAGUUUAAGUAAAAACAUUAAAUUGCAAGUUUAAAAUAGCUAUAAAGCUAGAAAUU
rnacentral:tRNA from 1 species